rnacentral:rRNA from 1 species
GGUGAACGCUGGCGGCGUGCUUAUGACAUGCAAGUCGAACGCAGUCUUCGGACUGAGUGGCGCACGGGUGAGUAACACGUAACUGACCUACCCCCAAGUCGCGAAUAACCAGCCGAAAGGAUGGCUAAUACGUGAUGUGAUGAUCCGCUGUGGCGGAUCAUUAAAGACUUGAUCGCUUGGGGAUGGGGUUGCGUUCCAUCAGCUAGUUGGUAAGGUAAAGGCUUACCAAGGCAACGACGGAUAGCCGGCCUGGGAGGGUGGCCGGCCACAGGGGCACUGAGACACGGGUCCCACUCCUACGGGAGGCAGCAGUUAGGAAUCUUCCACAAUGGGCGCAAGCCUGAUGGAGCGACGCCGCGUGAGGGAUGAAGGUUCUCGGAUCGUAAACCUCUGAACCAACGACGAAAGACCCGACAAGGGAGAUGACGGUAGUUGGGUAAUAGCACCGGCUAACUCCGUGCCAGCCGCCGCCGUAACAC